rnacentral:rRNA from 1 species
AACGCGAAGAACCUUACCUACCCUUGACAUGCUUGGAAUUCUGUAGAGAUACGGAAGUGCCCGCGAGGGAACCAAGACACAGGUGCUGCAUGGCUGUCGUCAGCUCGUGUCGUGAGAUGUUGGGUUAAGUCCCGUAACGAGCGCAACCCUUGUCCUUAGUUGCUAGCAGGUAAAGCUGAGAACUCUAAGGAGACUGCCGGUGACAAGCCGGAGGAAGGUGGGGAUGACGUCAAGUCCUCAUGGCCCAUACGGGUAGGGCCACACACGUGCUACAAUGGGCGAUACAGAGGGAAGCGAAGCCGCGAGGUGUAGCGAAUCCCGAAAAGUCGUUCGUAGUCCGGAUUGGAGUCUGCAACUCGACUCCAUGAAGUUGGAAUCGCUAGUAAUCGCGGAUCAGAACGCCGCGGUGAAUACGUUCCCGGGCCUUGUACACACCGACGCAC